rnacentral:rRNA from 1 species
GACGAACGCUGGCGGCGCGCUUAACACAUGCAAGUCGAACGGAAAGGCCUGCUUUCCCUUGUGGAUUGCGGGUACUCGAGUGGCGAACGGGUGAGUAACACGUGAGUGAUCUGCCCCCAACUUGGGUAUAAGCCUGGGAAACUGGGUCUAAUUCCCGAUAGGACUGCAGGGUGGUGCCUGUGGUGGAAAACGAUUUUCUAGUGGUUGGGGAUGAGCUCGCGGCCUAUCAGCUUGUUGGUGGGGUAAUGGCCUACCAAGGCGGCGACGGGUAGCCGGCCUGAGAGGGUGGACGGCCACAUUGGGACUGAGAUACGGCCCAGACUCCUACGGGAGGCAGCAGUGGGGAAUAUUGCACAAUGGGCGGAAGCCUGAUGCAGCGACGCCGCGUGGGGGAUGACGGCCCUCGGGUUGUAAACUCCUUUCGACCGCGAGGAAGCCACCUGGUUGGAAGGGUGGUGACGGUAGUGGUAGAAGAAGCACCGGCUAACUACGU